GUGGGGAAUUUUGGACAAUGGGCGCAAGCCUGAUCCAGCAAUGCCGCGUGCAGGAAGAAGGCCUUCGGGUUGUAAACUGCUUUUGUACGGAACGAAACGGUCCUGGCUAAUAUCCGGGGCUAAUGACGGUACCGUAAGAAUAAGCACCGGCUAACUACGUGCCAGCAGCCGCGGUACUACGUAGGGUGCGAGCGUUAAUCGGAAUUACUGGGCGUAAAGCGUGCGCAGGCGGUGCUGUAAGACAGGCGUGAAAUCCCCGGGCUCAACCUGGGAAUGGCGCUUGUGACUGCAAGGCUGGAGUGCGGCAGAGGGGGAUGGAAUUCCGCGUGUAGCAGUGAAAUGCGUAGAUAUGCGGAGGAACACCGAUGGCGAAGGCAAUCCCCUGGGCCUGCACUGACGCUCAUGCACGAAAGCGUGGGGAGCAAACAGGAUUAGAAACCCCGGUAGUCC
rnacentral:rRNA from 1 species